rnacentral:rRNA from 1 species
AUUGAACGCUGGCGGCAGGCCUAACACAUGCAAGUCGAACGGUAACAGGAAGAAGCUUGCUUCUUUGCUGACGAGUGGCGGACGGGUGAGUAAUGUCUGGGAAACUGCCUGAUGGAGGGGGAUAACUACUGGAAACGGUAGCUAAUACCGCAUAACGUCGCAAGACCAAAGAGGGGGACCUUCGGGCCUCUUGCCAUCGGAUGUGCCCAGAUGGGAUUAGCUAGUAGGUGGGGUAACGGCUCACCUAGGCGACGAUCCCUAGCUGGUCUGAGAGGAUGACCGGCCACACUGGAACUGAGACACGGUCCAGACUCCGACGGGAGGCAGCAGUGGGGAAUAUUGCACAAGGGGCGCAAGCCUGAUGCAGCCAUUCCGCGUGUAUGAAGAAGGCCUUCGGGUUGUAAAGUACUUUCAGCGGGGAGGAAGGGAGUAAAGUUAAUACCUUUGCUCAUUGACGUUACCCGCAGAAGAAGCACCGGCUACCUCCGU